UUUGUACUCCCUCCGUUCGAAAUUACUUGUCUCGAAAAUGGAUGUAUCUAGACCUAAAAUACAUCUAGAUACAUCCAUUUCUUUGACAAGUAAUUCCGAACGGAGGGAGUACUUU
rnacentral:pre_miRNA from 1 species